UCUUCUUCUGUUUCUUUCUUCUCCUUUCGUUUUCUUCUCUUCUUCCUCCGGUUCUGCUUCUGCGAGAGACAUAUGAGUCGAGAGUGAGUUUUGAGUGAAAGUAACUUGGGGAUGGAGAUUUUUAGAUGAUGGAGGAGUCGAAGUUGUUGUUGUUGAAGAAGAAAAGAUGAAUCAGAGAAUCAAGUUAAGGUUUCUGAGGAGAAUCGAAUUAAAGUUCGAAUUGAUGACGUAUAAGAAGAUUUAUGGAUUGGGUUUAGCUGAUUAAAUAAAGGGUUGGAGUUGAUUAUAAGUUAUGGAGUUUUUCAUGAAGAAUUGAACAGUUAGGGUUUCGUUCAAAAUACAGAGAACAAUUGAAAGACGAAAUUGAUGUUCUAAUAGGAUUGAUUAGAGUUGGGUUGGUCAUGAAUUAGGUUUAGACCGAAGAAUUACUUGAGGUUAUUAGUUGGGAUUCUGGAAUUUGGUAAAUUGAAGUUGAUAUUGAAGUUUGAGGUUGAUGAGUUGUGGCUGAUACAGAAUUAGGGCUCGAUUCUGUUGGUAAGAAGAUGAUGAGCAUGUUAUUAGGGUUGAGAUGGUUAUAGAGUGGAUAAGGAAAGGAAUUUUCGUCUGCUAUUUUGUUCAAGGAACUUGAACUGAGGUGGAGAUGUAAUGUUGUGAAUGAAAUUGCUGAGAUGAGUUUAGCGGUGGUGGUGAUGAUGUUGUUAUAGGGGAGCAUAGAUGUACUGGUGGAGAUGGAGGUUGAAUUUGGAUGGGUAAUGAUUGUUGUUGAGGUUGUAAUAUUAGGACUGGUGUUACAAGGAGCUGUUUUGGGUAUAAUUGGUGGUAUCUCUGAUGAGUUUGAGAAAAUGGAUUGGUUAAAUCUACUGGGAAUUGUAUGUGCAGAUGAAGGGUGUGGCAAUGAUGUCUGAAGGUAAAUAGAACUGUUAUUGGUAGAUGUUAGUGGAGCUGUGGUUGUAAUUGACUUGGUGGUUUGGGAUGGUGUAUAUGUAUGAGGUUGAUCAGGUUGUGGCUAAGAUGGAUAUGAGGUUGUAACUGAGGUUAAUGUGGACUGUUUAUGAAGUUGAGAUUAGUGAGUGUAGAUGGUGUUGUGAUUCUAAAUGAAUUGCAAGUUAGAUGAAUGGAUCAAGGGUAUGUGAACUAGAGAAAGUGAUUGAAGAUGACUGUAAUUGGAUUUGGUGUUGGUUAUAAAAUUGCAAUUAGUGUUGCUGUAAAGCUUGGAACUGCAAUUGCAGGUAACCAGUGCUUGUAAUUGUAUUUGAUUAUGAAGUUUGUUUUAAGAUUCAAUGAAUUGAUGCAAUGAGUAGAUUGAAGUCGAACUUGAGUUAGAGUUGUAAGUGUUAGAAUUGAAGUGAAUCUAUACUUGAUUUUAGACC